rnacentral:ribozyme from 1 species
ACCAAAAGAAGAAAUGUGAAAAAGAGAUGAACUCUGUUGGUUUGAUUCGUCAGUCAGAGUUCCUCACUUCUGCUCUUUGUUGACGCUUUAUUUUUUCUUUUCUUUUCCUUUCCUUUCC